CUGAUGGUCUUGGAGCUCGGCAAGAUUGUGCGUCAUGGUUCCUACAACAGCUGAAAUACCCUGCAUGUAACUAACUCCAUCGUCUAAUUAAUUGAUUAACAAGUUUAAUAUUCUUAUGCUUGUGUAGACAGACUUGUAGAUAAGAAUAUUGUUAGAACUUGUGGCUCCCGUGGACGUACCUGAAUUUGGAGAACCACGUAAAUUUCUGUGUUUACUGUCGUGUGUGAUUGAAUCCUAACAAAUACAAAUAAAAAUACAGGAGCUAUGUUAAGUAAGUAAUGUGUUUUUUAAUAAUUAAUUACCACUUGCUUGAUGACUU
rnacentral:lncRNA from 1 species